rnacentral:rRNA from 1 species
ACCUAUCAACGAUGGAUCUCUUGGUUCCCGCAACGAUGAAGAACGCCGCGAAACGCGAUAUGUAAUGUGAAUUGCAGGAUUAAGUGAAUCAUCAAAUCUUUGAACGCAAAUUGCUGCUCGACCUCUUGCAGGCCGAGCAUGCUUGCUUCAGACUCGU